CCUACGGGUGGCAGCAGUUAGGAAUCUUGCGCAAUGGGGGAAACCCUGACGCAGCAACGCCGCGUGAAGGAUGAAGGCUUUCGGGUUGUAAACUUCUUUUAGCAGGAAAGAACACAAUGACGGUACCUGCAGAAAAAGCACCGGCUAACUCUGUGCCAGCAGCCGCGGUAAUACAGAGGGUGCAAGCGUUAUUCGGAUUUACUGGGCAUAAAGAGCGCGUAGGCGGUCUGAUAAGUCUGAUGUGAAAUCCCUGGACCUAAUCCAGGAAGUGCAUCGGAUACUGUCAGACUAGAGUACAGGAGGGGACAGCGGAAUUCCUGGUGUAGAGGUGAAAUUCGUAGAUAUCAGGAGGAACAACAGCGGCGAAGGCGGCUGUCUGGACUGUCACUGACGCUGAGGCGCGAAAGCGUGGGGAGCAAACAGGAUUAGAUACCCUGGUAGUC
rnacentral:rRNA from 1 species